GACGAACGCUGGCGGCGUGCUUAACACAUGCAAGUCGAACGGAAAGGCCUCUUUCGGGGGGUACUCGAGUGGCGAACGGGUGAGUAACACGUGAGUAACCUGCCCUUGACUUUGGGAUAACUUCAGGAAACUGGGGCUAAUACAGGCUAGGAGCUCCUGCUGCAUGGUGGGGGUUGGAAAGUUUCGGCGGUUGGGGAUGGACUCGCGGCUUAUCAGCUUGUUGGUGGGGUAGUGGCUUACCAAGGCUUUGACGGGUAGCCGGCCUGAGAGGGUGACCGGCCACAUUGGGACUGAGAUACGGCCCAGACUCCUACGGGAGGCAGCAGUGGGGAAUAUUGCACAAUGGGUGGAAGCCUGAUGCAGCAACGCCGUGUGCGGGAUGACGGCCUUCGGGUUGUAAACCGCUUUCGCUCAUGACGAAGCUUUGUGUGACGGUAGUGGGUAAAGAAGCACCGGCUAACUACGUG
rnacentral:rRNA from 1 species